ensembl:lncRNA
CAACAACAGUGGGGUGGACAACAACAGUGAGGUGGACAACAACAGUGAGGUGGACAACAACAGUGAGGUGGACAACAACAGUGGGGUGGACAACAACAGUGGGGUGGACAUCAACAGUGGGGUGGACAACGACAGUGGGGUGGACAACGACAGUGGGGUGGACAACAGUGGGAUGGACAACAACAGUGGGGUGGACAAUGACAGUGGGGUGGACAACAACAAUGGGGUGGACAACAACAGUGGGGUGGACAACAACAGUGAGGUGGACAACAACAGUGAGGUGGACAACAACAGUGAGGUGGACAACAACAGUGGGGUGGACAACAACAGUGGGGUGGACAUCAACAGUGGGGUGGACAACAACAGUGGGGUGGACAACAACAGUGAGGUGGACAACAGUGGGGUGGACAACAACAGUGAGGUGGACAACAACAGUGAGGUGGACAACAACAGUGGGGUGGACAACAACAGUGGGGUGGACAACAACAGUGGGGUGGACAACAACAGUGAGGUGGACAACAACAGUGGGGUGGACAACAACAGUGGGGUGGACAACAACAGUGGGGUGGACAACAACAGUGAGGUGGACAACAGUGAGGUGGACAACAGUGGGGUGGACAACAGUGGGGUGGACAACAACAGUGGGGUGGACAACAACAGUGGGGUGGACAACAACAGUGGGGUGGACAAUAGUGGGGUGGACAACAACAGUGGGGUGGACAACAACAGUGGGGUGGACAUCAACAGUGGGGUGGACAACAACAGUGGGGUGGACAACAACAGUGGGGUGGACAUCAACAGUGGGGUGGACAACAACAGUGGGGUGGACAACAACAGUGAGGUGGACAACAGUGGGGUGGACAACAGUGGGGUGGACAACAACAGUGAGGUGGACAACAGUGAGGUGGACAACAGUGGUGUGGACAACAGUGGGGUGGACAACAACAGUGG